rnacentral:rRNA from 1 species
AGAGUUUGAUCAUGGCUCAGGACGAACGCUGGCGGCGCGCUUAAUACAUGCAAGUCGAGCGAGAACCAUGGCUUCGGCCAUGGGGACAGCGGCGAACGGGUGAGUAACACGUGGGUAAUCAACCCCCGACACCGGGAUAGCCCAGGGAAACUUGGAUUAAUACCGGAUACCCCAUCCGGCUUUCGAGCCGGCUGGAAAAGGGUAGCUUCGGCCUCCGGUCGGGGACGAGCCCGCGGCGGAUUAGCUUGUUGGUGAGGUAAAAGCUCACCAAGGCGACGAUCCGUAGCUGGUCUGAGAGGACGAUCAGCCACACUGGGACUGAGACACGGCCCAGACUCCUACGGGAGGCAGCAGUAGGGAAUCUUGCGCAAUGGGCGAAAGCCUGACGCAGCGACGCCGCGUGAGGGAAGAAGGCCUUCGGGUUGUAAACCUCUUUCAGGAGGGACGAAGCCACUCGGGUUAAUAGCCCAGAGGGUGACGGUACCUCCAGAAGAAGCCCCGGCUAACUACGUGCCAGCAGCCGCGGUAAUACGUAGGGGGCAAGCGUUGUCCGGAUUUAUUGGGCGUAAAGAGCGUGUAGGCGGCCAAACAGGUCAGCUGUGAAAACUCGAGGCUCAACCUCGAGACGUCGGUUGAAACCGUUUGGCUAGAGUCCGGAAGAGGAGAGUGGAAUUCCCGGUGUAGCGGUGAAAUGCGCAGAUAUCGGGAAGAACACCCGUGGCGAAGGCGGCUCUCUGGGACGGUACUGACGCUGAGACGCGAAAGCGUGGGGAGCGAACAGGAUUAGAUACCCUAGUAGUCC